CGUAGCUACUAUAUGCCUUUUCUUGAGGUGAGCCACUGGUUUGCAUCUGACCAUGGCUUCUUUUUUUUUUCUUUUUUUUUUUUUAUGGCUUUAAAGUCAUGAUCUCAGAUCUCAUAAAUCAAAUUAAAUUAGGGAUUAUAAAUUGAGGGUUAUGAGGGCUGAGUUUUUUUUGAUGAGUGAUGCAUCUUUGUCUCUUCUUAUAUAUGUGAUCGAUCUGGACAAAUUAAAGUGAGUGAUUUUCAAUAUAUUGUUUGUUCUUCACAAAGUGUGAUCAAUCCAUGUCUCUGUGUAUUUUUUUAGCACACUAACCCUAAUUCUCUCUCUCUCUCUCUCUCUCUCUCUCUGGAAAUUUGCUGUCUUUCUGAUCCUUUCACUGUUUUAUAAUCAAAUUGUUUGUUUUGUUUUUGUUGUAAUAAAUCUUAGUUCAAGCUUCUUUACCUUUGGGGAUUUCUUGCAUGAAUUAAGGAGUGAGAAAUAUAUAUAUAUAUAUAUGUGUGUGUUUGUGUGUGUAAGUGUAAGAAAUUCUACACAAGAUGAAAUCUUUGAAAGUGUUGUAGAUAUGUAUGUAUAUAUAGAUAUAUAUAUAUAUAUAUAUGCCUGGCUCCCUGUAUGCCAUCUGUAGUGCUCAUCGGAGAAUCGAUGGAACUCGGCGGAUGGCGUAUGAGGAGCCAAGCAUAUACAUACACACAUUGUGUGUGUGCAUCUCUCUCUCUCUCUACAUAUAUAUAUAUACAUAUAUAAGUGAUUUAAAGUAUGAUGAAUUCAAUCUCAUUGUUCCUAUGUAGGGUGUCCUUUGUUUUAAUUUUGAUUAAAUGAUAAUGAUAAUGGAAGUGAAGAUACAUCACACACACACCCAAAAAAAAAAAAAAAGAAAAAAAGAAAAAGAAAUUCGGUUUCGACUAUCGAUUUUGCUACAUCACCAGAUUAUGGAUUUGUUUUUUUUAAAAAAAAUAAAUUCUAUUAGAUCGAUAUAAAAAUAUUGCCGUUGUUGGGGUGCAAACUCAAGUCCCACACUGGGAGUUGUGAAGAAAAUUCCACACCUUGUAAGUCUUAUAUCGAGAAUUGUGCGAUUUUCGCCCGGUGAUCGUCCUUAACGUGGUUUUUCCCUCAUGAACAAAGCUCGGCCCUCUUGGUCCUAUCAGCAACGUCGAGCAUACUCCCCCUCCUUGGGAUGUCCAGUUACCUUAGGACAUGAUCAUCCUGAUCAUCCUUGACGACAUGUCUACUUUGUGGCUUCGUUCGUCACCAGCGUCAAGGUCCGCUCUGAUAUCACUGUUGGGAUUGGGUCAACUCAACACUAAUAUGAUAUUGUCUGCUUUGGACUGAACUUAUACGGAUUUAUUUUUUUAUAUUCUCCAAAAGACCUCAUACUAGUGGAGUUCACUUGAAACUUAUAAAGUAUAGAAUUUUCUUCA